GGCUCGGCAGCUUAGUUAGUAGAGCAGAGGACUGAAAAUCCUCGUGUCGGCGAUUUACUUCCAUCCCGACCA
rnacentral:tRNA from 1 species